rnacentral:lncRNA from 1 species
UGGACAUCCCGCUUCCCGGGACCCACCUCCUCCGCGUUCCAGAGGCGGUGGCGGCCGGCGCUGGUGCUGCCGCAGCCGCGGGGAACAGGCCUGAACCCCUCCCCCAACCCAGUCUCCCUCACGCCGACUUCCCUCAUCCCUCCGCCCUCCCGGCCGCCGAUGACGCUCCUGAUUUUAGCCAAUCAUGAGGCAAGAAAGUAGUCACGCUCACGUAAGCAACCAAUGAGAACAGGAAAGGAGAGGAACCAACGUGACCCGGACUGAUUCUCGGAACAACCAGCGAGCAUUUCGAAACCCAAGUGGGCGGGGCGAGGGGGAAGAGGCGGAGAGAGUGGCGCUGAGGACGACGGAAGAAGGGCACCUGGCGCGUUUAUGACGUACGCAGGGAGUGUUUUGUAACAACCACUGAGUAGUCCUCCGCGUCUCAUAGCAAAAUAUUCCCCUAAUGAGAAAACUGAGAAACGAGUGCAGAGAAUUAAUUCCAAAGUUUUAAAAUUUCCCAUUCGUGUCAUAGUUUGAGUACCCUACCCCUCGGACCCGGGGCAAGCCUUCGACUGUAACUUAGCACGUAAAAAACCAGAACGCCGGAAGUAUUUUCCUACACCCGCCGGAUGGACGCUGCUUCCCAGCGCCGCAAAUACUAAUUGGCUCUUCUCUACCCUACAGCUGGCCGUACGCUGGUGGGGUUUCAUCCUCAAGGCCUAAGAAAGUGCUAAAAAGACCGGUCUGGAAGUGCUCACUCUUCUGUGCGAAAACAUUUUUUAGCUCCUCCAGCCUACUGUUAAAUUCGGCCAAUUUUUGAGCAGCUACAGCGUCUGCUGCCCUCAAGUCUCCUUUCGCAGUUUUGCCCGCUAGCAGUGGCCGUUGGUGAGCAAUGUAAAAUGUGACGGAAAUACAAACAUAAAUGAAAGCUAAAAAGCAGCCGAAAUUAAUAAGAUGCACUAUACUGACACCAUGGGGAAAAUGUAUUCUGCAUCAUUGGACAAUCUACUCCACAGAUAACCAGAAAAUUACAAUACAGCACAGGAAGUUCCAUGGCAAAGGAAAGCAAAAGGGGCUGUGGAUUCCCAGAGGAGGUGCCUAACUGAGCUUGGUGGACAGAGGAGUACAAAGAAUAGCAUAUGCAGAGGCUCUCAUCUAGAGUGUGCCCCCCAAAAUAAACAAAAAAUAAUAAUAAAAUAAAGUGUGCCCUAGUCAUCUUCUCAAACCAAUGAGAGUUUGCCUCUCAUUUUUCUUGUAGCCCUAUAGUUUCAAAAUACUGUUUACUUUGUGUGUGAAGGUGGAGGAAACAGGCACUUCCAGGAU